rnacentral:rRNA from 1 species
GGACCCGCACAAGCGGUGGAGCAUGUGGUUUAAUUCGAUGCAACGCGAAAAACCUUACCUAUACUUGACAUACUUGGAAUGCUUUGUAAUGAAGUAGUGCCUUCGGGAGCCAAGAUACAGGUGCUGCAUGGCUGUCGUCAGCUCGUGUCGUGAGAUGUUCCGUUAAGUCGGAUAACGAGCGCAACCUUACCCUUAUUUGCCAGCGAUUCGGUCGGGAACUAUAAGGGGACUGCCGGUGAUAAACCGGAGGAAGGUGAGGACGACGUCAAGUCAUCAUGGCCCUUACGUAUAGGGCUACACACGUGCUACAAUGGAGAAUACAGACGGACGCUAAGCCGCGAGUGGUGCC